rnacentral:rRNA from 1 species
GAUGAACGCUGGCGGCGUGCCUAAUACAUGCAAGUCGAGCGAACGGACGAGAAGCUUGCUUCUCUGAUGUUAGCGGCGGACGGGUGAGUAACACGUGGAUAACCUACCUAUAAGACUGGGAUAACUUCGGGAAACCGGAGCUAAUACCGGAUAAUAUUUUGAACCGCAUGGUUCAAAAGUGAAAGACGGUCUUGCUGUCACUUAUAGAUGGAUCCGCGCUGCAUUAGCUAGUUGGUAAGGUAACGGCUUACCAAGGCAACGAUGCAUAGCCGACCUGAGAGGGUGAUCGGCCACACUGGAACUGAGACACGGUCCAGACUCCUACGGGAGGCAGCAGUAGGGAAUCUUCCGCAAUGGGCGAAAGCCUGACGGAGCACCGCCGCGUGAGUGAUGAAGGUCUUCGGAUCGUAAAACUCUGUUAUUAGGGAAGAACAUAUGUGUAAGUAACUGAGCACAUCUUGACGGUACCUAAUCAGAAAGCCACGGCUAACUACGUG